GACGAACGCUGGCGGCGUGCCUAACACAUGCAAGUCGAACGGAGAUUUUACUAAAUGCGACUUCGGUCAAAUGAAGUUUGAUCUUAGUGGCGGACGGGUGAGUAACGCGUGAGGAACCUGCCCUUCAGAGGGGGACAACAGUUGGAAACGACUGCUAAUACCGCAUAACGUGUGACUGGGACAUCCCAGACACACCAAAGGAGCAAUCCGCUGAAGGAUGGCCUCGCGUCUGAUCAGAUAGUUGGUGAGGUAACGGCUCACCAAGUCGACGAUCAGUAGCCGGACUGAGAGGGUGACCGGCCACAUUGGGACUGAGACACGGCCCAA
rnacentral:rRNA from 1 species